UACGGAGGGAGCUAGCGUUGUUCGGAAUUACUGGGCGUAAAGCGUGCGCAGGCGGUUUUGUAAGUCAGAUGUGAAAUCCCCGGGCUUAACCUGGGAACUGCGUUUGAAACUACAAGGCUAGAGUGUGGCAGAGGGGGGUGGAACUCUCGGUGUAGAGGUGAAAUUCGUAGAUAUCGAGAAGAACACCGGUGGCGAAGGCGGCCAUCUGGACGGUGACUGACGCUGAGACGCGAAAGCGUGGGGAGCAAACAGG
rnacentral:rRNA from 1 species